rnacentral:lncRNA from 1 species
GAAAUGCUUCUUCAGUAAGCAAAACUAAUAAUGAUGAUGAUAGUAGUUUCAUGUGGAAUAACUCGGAUUCAAAAAAUUUUGUUGAUGAUGGAGAUGGAGAUGGAUGUGACGAUGACGAUAGUGAUUUCACUUUAUAUAAUAACAAAAAACAUAGUGCUGCAACAAAAAAAAAAAAAAAAAAAAAAAUGAAACGCUAUAGCAGUGCUGAAGAAAUAGCUUCGUGUCCAGACACGUCCAUAAGUUUAAGUCUAUUUGGUAGCGAAAGUGAAAAUAGCAUAAAUGAUAAAAGCGAAACAGGCUAUCUUAGCAGUAUUUGUGACGUGUCCAGUAGCAAUAGUUGUAACACUCACAGUAGCAGCAAAAAGAGUAUAACUACCAUAAAAGAAAAUACUUUUAUAAAAAAAUACUCUUUAAGAAGCAAAACAAAUAAAAUAAAAAACGAUAUGUACGUCUAUGAAAGUUUUAAUAGUACUGAAGAAAUAGCAAACUUGGAAAAAACAAAAAUAGAUAAUAAAGUUAAAAAAAAAAAAAACCAGCAUGGCAAAAGUGGGAAAAAAAACCAACACGACACAAAUGGGAAAAAAAACCAACACGACAAAAAUGGGAAAAAAAACCAACNNNNNNNNNNAAAAAACCAACACGACAAAAAUGGGAAAAAAAACCAACACGACAAAAGUGGUACUAACCACUUGAGAAGUAAAAAUAAUUCCCCAACAGAGACCUUUUCAGAAGACCAAAUAAACAACUUUAUUAUGAAAACUAAUUUUAAAAGAUUAAAUAACAUAAUAAAUUAUAUAAUUAUCGAAAUUAUUGAAAAGGUAUUAUAUGAAAAUAACAAAAAUGGUAAAACUAUAUUACAGUUUAUUGUUUUAGAUUUAAUUAAAUGUUGUGAUAAUCCAUUAUUCAGUAUAAGCAUAUUAUUCAUAAAAAACAUAAUUCAUAUAUUUUUAGAUAUUAUAAACAAAAAACAAGAUAAUAAUAUUAAAGAAAAUUGCUUAUUCUUAUUAAGGUACAUUUUUAAAUAUAUUUUUAAUGUUUACAAUUAUAUAAACCGUUCUUUUUUUCAUCUAUUAUAUAUAUUUAAUAAAGAAAUGAAAAGAAAUAAAUUCAUAAAGCCUACGUUUAACGUUACUCUCAGUUCUCAUGGCUACUAUUCUACUGGCGGACAAACAGACUUAAAAGAAAUAAACGAUAAAGUUGGAUAUGAUAAAGUUGGAUAUGAUAAAAUUGGAGAUGAUAAAGUUGAAAACCAGGAAGUGGCGGAUGGAAAGGGUGGUAACAGUAGGAGUAAAAAAAAAAAAAACACCCUAACUGCGAAUGUGACUAAGCGUGCGAGUCCACGUGCAAAAACAGAUCGAAAGAAAGAUUCAAAAAAUACAGCUACGAGCAAAGCUACGAACAAAGCUACGAGCACAGCCAUAGAGUUAUGCACAAACACAACACCUAACAAAAGUUUUUCAUCAAAUAAAAUAACACCCGAAACUUUAGAAAAUAAUUCCAUGUUUAAAAAUACUAACGAACUGUAUGCAGAUACUAUUCCGAGUACGACAAAAAAAUGUGAAGUUAAGAACGUGAUAAAAUGCUGUAACAAACAUAAAAAAAAAGAUCAAAUAUUAAAGUGUUCACAAUGUGAAUGCUUUUAUCAUAUAUCAUGCGUUUAUAAGAAUUAUAACAAAUUUGAUAUACAAAAUGAGUACUAUGAAGAAAAUAAUACGAAUGACUAUUCUUCGGGGGCGGUGACAGGCGCAGUAACAAUCGGAGCAACAAACGGAGCAACAAACGGAACAACAAACGGAACAACAAUCGGAGCAACAAACGGAACAACAAACGGAACAACAAACGGAGCAACAAUCGGAACAACAAACGGAACAACAAACGAAGCAACAAACGGAACAACAAACGAAGCAACAAACGGAACAACAAACGGAGUAGAAGAUAUAAACAAUAUAAACGUCAAUGUAACAAGUAGAGAAACACACAAAACCGAACAAGUGAUUGAAAAACAGUCAACAAGUUUGAUAGAACAAAUACCACACAACGAUUUGUUACAAAAUAAAAUUCUUCAUAAUGUGCAUUACGAUUGCGAUAAUUGUAAAAUUAAGAAUAUAAUAAAAAGUUUUAUUUUUAAUGAAUCACAAAAAAAUAAUAGUUUUUUAAAUUUAAAAUUUAAACAAGAAAAGGAAAAAAAUGAAGGUUUUUAUACGUUGAAUUGCUUUAUUAAUCACUUAAAUGUUUUUUUCAUAUAUUAUUAUUAUUUAGUAAUAUAUCUCAGAAAAAAUGAUCAUUUAAAUGAAAACAUAGAUUAUAAUAGUAAUAAUAUAUAUACAUAUAUUUUGCUUUUAUAUAAUGACUUUAUUUUAUCAAACGAGGGUGAAGAAAAAAAUAACAUGAACAAGUCAGCUGAAAGUGAAUUAAAUGUUGAUUAUAAUAACGGAAAUGUGGAGAGCGAACUCGGAAGUCCUGUUAAGAGUUGUUCUGGUAAAGGAAAACGUGGUAAUAGUACCAAUUCUCGCAACAAACGCAAACCUAAAAACAAACCCAAGUCGAACAAACAAAAUAUAACUGCAUCUCCAAACACGUCCAUCAAAAAAGCCAAGCUAAAAAAAGAACAAAAAUUAAAAAGCAAAGCAAAACAAUUGAACCUUAUAACAAAUUUAUUAAUUUACGAAUUUAAAAAUGUUAAACAAAAUGAAAACUUAAAUCAUGAGUCUACUUAUAGUACAUACAAUUUUGACAUAUAUGUUAAUUUUAUAUGGAAAUUAUAUUUAUAUUUCUUUUUUUAUGAUUUUUAUUUAAUUAUGUUUAAUCAGUUGUUUUAUAUAUUAUAUGAAAAUAGUAAUAAAAAAUUAAGAUAUUAUAGUAUUUCUAUUAUUAAUAAUAUUAUAAAUGAUAAUUACUUGUAUUUAAAAUGUAAACACACACAAAGCAUUCUACUCUCCUGCUUGACAGAUAACUAUUUAAAAGUACGAGAAUUUACCUUAUACAUUUUUUAUAAUUUCUGUAAACACUUUUUGGAAAUAGAUAUGCUUAUAACGAAUAGUAGAUACUACAAAAUAUUAAGAAGAGAUUCAUCUAAGGAAGGAAUGGAGAAUGGUAAAAAAAAAUAUGGUGAUGAUCAUUUUUUAAAGAAUGAUAAUAUACUAUCCAAUACUUUAACUGCUUCACUUGAUGAUGAAAAAACCCUAAACGCAAACCCAACAAAACAAGAAACUUUCGAAACAAAUUACUUCGACGAACAAACAGAACAUACAAAUGCAUAUGAUGACUAUCAUAACAGACGCAUUAAUCUGAACGAUUAUAUUACGAAUGAUGUUAUCGAAUCGAUUAGGAGGUGUUCCAAAGAUAUAAAAAUUAAUGUUCGAUUGAUUAGUGUUAAAAUUUUGAAAUAUAUAGUUUAUUUUAAUAUGUACGUCAAAAAAUGUGAUACUGCUAAUACUACAUCUAUAGCGAAUGUUAAGUAUGACCAUAGUCAGAACCAUAACCAUAACCAUAACCAGAACCAGAACGAAAAACAAAAACAAAACCCCGACACAAUACCACCAAGUGGCCAUUAUGAUAACACAUUCAUAACUGAGAAACCAAAAAAUAUGUAUACUACACAAAAUGCAAUCGAGGACAAUAUACAAAUAUUAAACGAUUUAAUCGAAAGGUAUGUAUCUAGUUUUGAUAAUGAUACCAUCAAAAACACAAUUUUAGAAAUUUUUGUUGAGUUCUUUUUUAUUAAUAUUUUUACAUUAAGUAAAAAAAUGUGCAUAAAAAAGAAACGUAAAAAAGGCGUUAAACAAAUAAGUAAUAAAACGAUAAAAAAAAAAACAUCAUUAAGUGAUACUCUCUGCACACCCAACUCGAAACGGGAUAGCACAUCAGUAGCUAGCUCAAGCAAUAAUGAUUGUUUUGAAAAUCAUCCUGAAGAUUACUCGGACAAUGAUUAUGAUAACAACUGUGAUGAUUACUUAGAUGAAGAAUGCUUUAAAAAUAGUAAACCAUCCAGAAAAGUUUUGACUUCGACUGGAGCUGCAAGAGGAAAUACUGACUAUGAUGAAAGUUAUAAUAACAAAACACAAGAUAUUAAUUAUAAUUUUAACACGAGCAAUAAAAAAUAUUUAAAAAUUAAUAAACGUGUGUACAGUUUGUUUAUUCAUUUAUUAUAUAUAUUUAAAAACAAACAUGAUAUUAAUAUUGUAAAUAAGAUGUUGGUAUAUAUCAAUAAAAAUUUGAAAAAAUACGAAGAAAAAUUAAACUCAAUGUAUACCUUAAUAUAUGGUAGAUACAAUAACACCAAUCAUAAUGGUAAGGUGCAAAAGGAGCAGCAAAACAAGUAUAACAAAAAAAAAAAAAAUAAAAAUAAAAGUAGUUUUAUGAGCAAAUAUAAAGAAAAAAAAAAAAAUCGUAAUAAAAAAAACACAAAAAUAAGUAAUAGCGAAAAUCAAAACGGGAUCAACUAUAACAGUAACUAUGAAGCAGGUCAAUGUGCCGACCAAGCGGACCAAUCAGACCAAACGGACCAAUCAGACCAAACGGACCAAUCAGACCAAACGGACCACUCAGACCAAACGGACCAAUCAGACCAAUCAGACCAAUCAGACCAAUCAGACCAAUCAGACCAAACCGAACAACACAAACACAAAGCAUUAUUAUCAAAAAAAAAAAUAAAUAACAUUUACAACAUUUAUAUAAACAAUUUUUAUAAAGAUUUAGACAUAUUAAACAAUACUUGUAUUAAAUAUAUUUUAGAAUCAUGGAUAUACAAUUUAAUUUGUUUGUUUACAAAAAGUAGAAGAUACAGUAUUCUUAAAAAUGAAACAAAACAAAUUAUGAGCAUAUUAAACAUAAUAAUAGAAAUCAUACCAAAUCUGUUCAUAAAAUAUUUAACUUUUUUUUAUCCAUAUAUAUAUAAUAAUGAUAUAUCUAAGGAUGUUUGUGAAUUGUUAUCAUCCAUCAUUCCAUAUUGCAAAUUAAGUUUACAAUUAAAAUUACAAUUUAAAAAAGUUACUUUCAAUAAUGCGUUAAUUUAUCAUAAUAAUAUAUUCAUAUCAAGAUCUUACAUACAGUUGUUAUGUUCUUUACAUACGUAUAUAUUCGCAAAUUAUACCCACUUUAAAGAUUAUAUUAUUGAAUCGUUUUCCGUUAUAUAUAAAUACAAACUUUGUUUUCUUAUUAACAAUUAUAUUGUCCAAUUGAAUGAUUUUGUUCGUGAGUUUUAUUUUAUGAAUGAAGACGAAAAAAAAAUAAUACAAAACAAGUUGUGUGACGCAUAUGAUCAAGUUGUCCCAGCUAUUAACAACACAGAAAAACGAAACGACAUAGAAAACCCCAAUAUUUAUUUUAUUAACAAUCUAAUCGAUAUUACAUAUGAACAAUUCAUUUAUUCUUUAAACGAUUAUAAGAAACAUAUAUUUGGUAUGUUUUGCAUUUCGCAAACAGACAUUUUAAAUAUAAAUAAACAUGCUUGGUUUAUAUCAAUUAUGUUAGAAUUUAUAAACAUUAACAAAAUUAUAAUUAACGAUAUGUAUACGGAGGGGGUAGACGAAGAAACGCAUAUUCAGUUGAGCGAUUUAGUACAAAGACACACUACUUUAAAUAACACGACAUCCACUGACGUGACAAAUGAUACACUGGAUGAUGCACUGGAUGAUGCACCGGAUGAUGCUCUGGAUGAUGCAACGGAUGAGUACAAACAUAAAGGCAUAAACACAAAGACAAAUACCAAGAAAAAAGCAAACGCUAAGAAAAAAGCAAACGACAAGAAAAAAGCAAACGCUAAGAAAAAAGCAAACGACAAGAAAAAAGCAAACGACAAGAAAAAAGCAAACGACAAGAAAAAAGCAAACGCUAAGAAAAACGAAAGGGCACUAGAAAACGAACUGAACCAAAUUGUAAAAAAAUAUAUCAAGUUAUCUGAUAUCGCUAAAAACGUUAUGAUAUAUUACAACGGAAUAUUGUAUUUUGAAUUUAUAUAUAAUAAACAACUAGAAUAUAUAAAAAAAUGGAAUAUAUUAAAAUUAAAAAACGAAAUAAUAUCUGAGAUUAUUAACAAAAAAAUGAAUAUAACUAAAAUACAAUCUUUUGCUGAUGUAUGUAACUUCAAAUUUCAUAAUGUAGCUAUGGUAGUUAUACAAUUAUUAGUCGAUUUAUUUUACAUAUCUAAUGACAUCAAAUGUAAAUGCUUUUUUCUUCUAUGUAUAUGUAAAAUUUUAUCUAAUUAUUAUUACUCUCAUUUUAUUAAUGAAUUAAAAAUAAGAAACAUAUUUUAUUAUUGCAUUAAUUCGUCUAAUUCGACUUUGCAAAAAAGUUUUCUCUAUACUCUCCUUCAAUUAAUUAAAACAUAUGAACAUUUUUUGAACAGCAAAAACAGUGUGAUUGCGAUUCAGAGAGACAAGAGAAGUGCCACUGGAAAGGAAGAAAACGAAAUAGGAGACAAUAACAAUAAAAGCAAAAACGUGAAAAAAAACGUGAAAAAAAACUUGAGCAAAAAUAUGAGCAAAAAUAUGAAUAAAAAUAUGAGCAAAAAUAUGAGCAAAAAUAUGAGCAAAAAUAUGAGCAAAAAUAUGAGCAAAAAUAUGAGCAAAAAUAUGAGCAAAAAUAUGAGCAAACCGAAUUUUAAAACAAAAUUAUCUCAAGGAACAUCACUAAACAACGAUAGUCAAAACGAAACAAUUGAAGACGAACCAAGUAAAUCUGAUUAUAACGAUUCCAACGAAUUUGAAAAUUCUUUUUUUAUUUCAGAACAAGAAACAAAAAAGAAGAAACAAACAGGACAACAACAAAACUACGCAAAAGAUAAAACAAAAAAAAAAGUGCUGCUCCAAAUGGAGCAAGAAACCAUGGAAGAUGCCACUUUAGAUACAACAAACGAAACAAACGAAACAAACGAAACAAACGAAAUGAACGAAACAAACGAAAUGAACGAAACAAACAAAAUGAACGAAACAAACAAAAUGAACGAAACAAACAAAAUGAACGAAACUGAAAUAAAUACAAAAAAUAAUCCAAAAAAUAAUGCACAAGAAAAUAUAUCACCUGUGUGUACACCAAAUAAAGAUAUAAUGAAUGUUUUGUCUGUUGCCUCCUUUUUUAUACAAAACAUAUUAGACAUUCUAAAACUAAACAAAUUUAUUUAUACAGAUUGUUCAAAUGAUCAGUUGUAUUAUAUUAAAAAUUUAUGUGUUCAAAUAUUAAGCCAUUUAUAUAAAGAAGGGUUUAUACAAAGUAGCAAAAUAUCACCAAGUAUCUUCUGUUUAUGUUUUUCAACUGACGUAAAACUAAAAAUAAAAAGUGAAAAAAUAAUUAAAUAUAUAAUUGAAAAAGAAAAUUAUAAUUUUAUUAAUAAUUUAGCUGAAUGUUUACAAUACAUGCUAUUUUAUAUUAUUGAAAAUUAUUACAUGUCUA